rnacentral:rRNA from 1 species
AGGACGAACGCUGGCGGCGUGCUUAACACAUGCAAGUCGAGCGGAAAGGCCCUUCGGGGUACUCGAGCGGCGAACGGGUGAGUAACACGUGGGCAACCUGCCCCUAGCUCUGGGAUAACUCCGGGAAACCGGUGCUAAUACCGGAUACGACCUCAUUAGGCAUCCUUUGAGGUGGAAAGAUUUAUUGGCUAGGGAUGGGCCCGCGGCCUAUCAGCUUGUUGGUGGGGUAAUGGCCUACCAAGGCGACGACGGGUAGCCGGCCUGAGAGGGCGACCGGCCACACUGGGACUGAGACACGGCCCAGACUCCUACGGGAGGCAGCAGUGGGGAAUAUUGCGCAAUGGGCGAAAGCCUGACGCAGCGACGCCGCGUGAGGGAUGACGGCCUUCGGGUUGUAAACCUCUUUCAGCAGGGACGAAGCGCAAGUGACGGUACCUGCAGAAGAGCGCCGGCCACUACGCGCCAGCAGCCGC